rnacentral:rRNA from 1 species
GUCCAGACUCCUACGGGAGGCAGCAGUGGGGGAUAUUGCACAAUGGGGGGAACCCUGAUGCAGCGACGCCGCGUGGGUGAAGGAGUAUUUCGGUAUGUAAAGCCCUAUCGGCAGGGAAGAAGAAAGACGGUACCUGACUAAGAAGCCCCGGCUAACUCCGUGCCCGCAGCCGCGGUAAUACGGAGGAUGCGAGCGUUUUCCGGAUUUAUUGGGUUUAAAGGGUGCGCAGGCGGCGUGUCAAGUCAGCGGUAAAAUGUCGGGGCUCAACCCCGGCCGGCCGUUGAAACUGGCGUGCUCGAGUUGGAGAGAAGUAUGCGGAAUUCGUGGUGUAGCGGUGAAAUGCAUAGAUAUCACGAAGAACCCCGAUUGCGAAGGCAGCAUACCGGCUCCACACUGACGCUGAGGCACGAAAGCGUGGGUAUCGAACAGGAUUAGAUACCCUAGUAAA